CAUUAAAAAUUAUCUAUUUUUAUGUUAAAAACUGCCGUAGUUGACAAAACAACCAACACUUAUGUCACAUAUACUUCAUUCUGAUGUAUAGGGAUCAAUUUUUAAUAGUAAAAAUGGAUAAAUUUGUUAAUA
rfam:Gossypium raimondii Chr07_contig_1178, whole genome shotgun sequence.